AGUUACAAGCGUUAGAUAAAAAACGAACGGCCCAAAUUAUGUCUUCUUCCUCCAAACGUUUUACAGAUCACAUCGCUGCAGCGUCCGUCUUCUUCUUCUUCCUCCCGCCGCCUACUACCACCAGCCAGGCCGCCUGCUGCCGCCGCCCAUGGCUUGCGGCGCUCUCAUGGCCGCCUCGCCACAUCGUCCUCCCCUCAACCUCCCACACCGCCGGUCUUGCCGCCUUCCCCAACCAUCCCUUAGCCCCGGGCCUCACCGGUUUUUUCUCCGGCGAACUUGCACCACAGCCCCCACCCCCACCCUAAGAUAGAUCAUGGGGAAGCUUCUCCGGCUAGCCCCCCGCUACGGCUGUUUCUUCCUUCCCUCCGGUGCCUCCUUCCUUCUAGCAAAAAUCCACUGACCAUUCAGGCGACUGAUGUUUAGCUAUUGUGAUGUUUCUUUUCAUCAAGUCUUAAGUAAUAUAUUUUUGUCUCUUGAAAUGUGAAGGAUAGAAACCAAUCCGAAUAGGCCCUCAUUUUCCUAGUUUGCUUCACACUCUUAUGCAAAAGAAAUGAUACCCAAUUCAACUUCAACUCAAAUAUACCACACAUAAUAAGGCAUGCUUUUUUCCCGUCUAUACAUGGUUUUGCUUUCUACUUGGCUCCACCCCACAUUGGAAAUCUUCACCUCCCUCUCCCUCUCCCUCUCUUUCUCGUCGUUGCCUGGCCCUGCUCUACUUCACCAAAAAAAUAGAGAACACAAAUAUUGUUUUUGUUGUAGCCACACAUAGACGCCAGGGAGUGUUUUCGGCAGCGUGCAUGCAUGACCUUAUUAUCUUGCUAUUCAUCUUAAUAGACAAGUCAAUCACAUUCACAUGAGACGUGAGGAGCUUUUUUCAUACAUCAUGAUCAAGAAUAUUGUUUAUUUCUAUCAAUCUUCAAUAAAACAUGGACAUAGCAAAAAGAGAGGAUACAUGCAUUUGUUUCCUUAACUUAGGAUGAUGAUUAAAAUAUCAAGGAUAAUCGUGUCUACCAAUCCACUAUCUAAUUCUAAUCCUAGACACAUAUAUAUCAUUGCAUCUUCUGAAAAUCAUCCCAAUCUUUUGUACAACACAAUGUUCAAGGCACACUGCAAUAGCACAUACAUAACUGAUAAUUUAUCAAAUUUAGAAGAAAAAAAGACUUCCAUUACCUGGGUGUCACUUUCGUUUUCAUGAUCUAAGGCAUAACCAUUGGAAGCAAAUCCUGCAGUUCUAUGUUCCCAAGCAGAAGAGCAUUUGUGAAGCACACCUUCACACGCAUGACAAUAUCAAUCACCCCCCUCGAGUUUAGACCUGUCACAUAUGCACAGACCAAAAUAAAUAAAGACUUCCGCAGAGACACAUAACAUUAUCCAAUAGCUAAUACUUCUGAAAGUGAGCAACUUUUUUGAGAACUGGAAUUUGCGGAAAUUUGCUCUCUUGAUGGCCUAAUCAAGACGUACAAUAUGGUUGCUUGUGAUUUGUAUAUUUCCAGCCGCUGGCAAAAACCUAGGAGUUGGAUAAAGGUUCCAUAAGUUUCAGUUGUAUCUUUUUUCUUUAGCGGGAAAACAUUCAGGCAUACCCACCAUUCACAUGCAUACAUUUUUUAUUUUUUUAGAACAAACAGCAUGUAAGUCAAUCAGGAAAACUAUCUCUGUAAAUUAUGCACAAACCAGCUGCCGUAAAGAGUUUUAAAAAUCUAAUGCAACAUAGAUCUGUGUAUACUAUCCUAAACUAAUGGUUAGUAUAAGCAGAGGCAAAGCUUUUGCCCUUUUUCACACGAACCAUGAAUGCAUUUUCUACCACAUCUGACGUUGCUACAUCACAUAAUCGAAAAAAUCUUGAAAGUGUCAUAUUCUACAAGUCUACCUGCCAGAAGUGAACUCAAACUGGAUGGUUAAAAAAAAUGGCCACUAAUAACUUACACAUCACAUGGAAAUUAAUCAACUCACUUUUUGAGAUUUACUUGACAUAUCGUGAUGGAGACCUUGGAAUAUUAUGUGCAGAUUUUGAGGUUAUGUUCCAUGCACAAGAGAUGGGAUAGAUAACACAACUAAGCAAACAAGUAACGAACUAUUCUAAGUGUCCAGUUUAAGAAGAUUAUCUCCUGCUCAUAUAAACCAUUCGACUAACAAAAUCGAGUCAUGUGUGAAAUUUAUUCCGCCAAGCACAAAUAUUUUAUGAUGAAUUAGACACCAAAUAUUUACUUAUUUGAUUAGGGGGCUACCUCUAGAAAUAGCAGCACAUGAGUAUAGAGUAUAUGACUACAUAUGCCAAUUCUGAAGAAAUUGAGCUGUUGUGUAUGACCAACGUUGCAUGUGUUCGCCACGACUCGGUGGUCACCACGCCGGAAAUGACCCUCACCUUGACAUCUAUCUGCAGGCAAUCAACAUGGUGGGUAGUGGUUAGUGGCAACAACUGAACUGACGGUCAGAUCGCAGCAGCUAGCAGAAUGGUCAGUUACCUUGGUGGAACCAUACAGGUCAUGGAGCCAAAAACAUAUGAAGCAAGAUAGAUAAAAUUCAGACUGGCGACCAAUCCAUCUUCAGUUCCUGGCUUUACGACUAAAAUCAGCACAUCGGUCUGUGAGCUGUUCAACCUAGCUAGCCCGG
rnacentral:lncRNA from 1 species